CCUUGGGUUCCUUCCAGCCCAGGCAAAGCAGAAUUAUUAUGCAAAGAGAGACAUGCCAGAAUCACGUGCUACACAUUACAGGUAGGCGAAUGAGAGUAAAUUAUCUUGUUUUCUACAAAUCAUCCUCACCCACUAAAUAUCCCUUAGCCAUUCCAGAAUGUACAGUAAUCUGCCCCACUGAAUGCAUCCUGUCUAAUCUCCCAAAAAAUAAAAUUGCCUGGAAUUGAGUUUGGGCACAUUUGGUUCAAGAAUGCUGCAGCUUCACUAGGUUGGAGCUGAGCACGUGCUCUUCUAAAAUUUAUAGUGUAAUUGAUUUUUUUAUAAGCUAUUCAGGCCUUAUUAUUUAUUAAUCUACCUGUCAAGGUUAAUUUAAACUACUUCUCAAUAAGGCAGUUUGACAACACCUUUGUUUUCCAGAUUGACAGCCCUGGUGAAUAAAGAGAUGGCACAGCGAUCCCUCUGCCCUUAACAGACACCUCUGGGAAGGAACCUCCAGCAGGGCAGUGCGUUACCCCGCCCUCAUUAGGAAAUGCAAGAGGCCUCCCAUCCUACUGAGUGGGGAUAGAAUCCAAAGGUUACCCUUUUGUUUCCAAGUAGGUUGUAGGCCCCAGGACUUGCACCAGCCACCAAGUGACAACUGAGUCCUAUAAUCUGAACAAAGCCCUUCAGUGGUUCCCACAGAACCACUGAAUGAUUUCAAUCAUGUGGGCUUGAAAUGCACAGAGUCAAGUUCAAAGUCCUCGAUGCCCUGGCCCCUGCCUACUGCUCCAGCCUCAUCUCCCAUCACCCCUUCUCUGUCACCUUUUACUUUAUGCCCCAACAUUAUCACUCAGUGUGCUGUUCCUUGCCAUCUGCGUCUUUGUAAUGCUGUUCCCUCUUCCUAGAUCCUGGUCAUCAUCAAAACUCCAGUACGAAUGCAGUCACUGCCAUUUGCUGUCCUGACUACUCCCAAGAGGUGGAUCAUGUUCUGCCUCAGAUUUAUGUUCCUGAAAUCCAUGUAUAUUGAGUUGGUAAGCAACAAAUACUUGUCAAGUGUGGACUGUGGGACACAUAUAGUGCUGAGACCUAAGGAUACAACAGAGAACUAGAGAAAACUUGUACCUGACCUCCCACAACUUAUGUCCACACUGUGAGCUCCUUCAAGAUAGUUGUUCUAAUGCACUUCCCAGCAUGGUGCUGAUGGAAGUACAAGGAGACAAGGCGAGAUGAGCAAACUGGAGUUCAAAGAAGUGAAACAGCUUGCCAAUGUUUACUCAACCCAUUUGUGGUGAGUCCAGUCUCCAAACACAGGACCGAUUCCAAAGCCUCAACUCUAGUUCCACACUGUACUGCUCUCCUGGCACAGAGUUCGGACUUGUUGAAUAAAUCCCUGAUAUGCACCAAGUCAAA
rnacentral:lncRNA from 1 species